UACGUAGGGUGCAAGCGUUGUCCGGAAUUAUUGGGCGUAAAGAGCUUGUAGGCGGUUUGUCGCGUCUGCUGUGAAAUUUCGGGGCUCAACCCCGAACUUGCAGUGGGUACGGGCAGACUAGAGUGUGGUAGGGGAGACUGGAAUUCCUGGUGUAGCAGUGAAAUGCGCAGAUAUCAGGAGGAACACCGAUGGCGAAGGCAGGUCUCUGGGCCAUAACUGACGCUGAGAAGCGAAAGCAUGGGGAGCGAACAGG
rnacentral:rRNA from 1 species